CGGACCUGAGAGCUGGAGGGGCGUGCGCGCGCCCUCGCCCUGUUGCGCGCGCGGUGUCACCUUGGGCGCGAGCGGGGCCGCGCGCGCACGGGACCCGGAGCCGAGGGCCAUUGAGUGGCGAUGGCGGCGACGGCGAGUGCCGGGGCCGGCGGGAUGGACGGGAAGCCCCGUACCUCCCCUAAGUCCGUCAAGUUCCUGUUUGGGGGCCUGGCCGGGUAAGCUCAGGCCCCAGGGAUGGGAAAAGAAGAGGAAGGGACGGGCACAAGGAACCGGGCCCGGUUCAUCUCUGGGUCUGUUGCAGUGAACUGUGCCGGCACGGGGUCAGCGCGGUCUCCAGCGUAUUGCGAGUUCCCCGAUGGGCUGCUAGGGCCCCAUUGCAGGACCCUUCUGGACUGCAUGCGGGGUCGUUGCACAACCCCCGCCGGGCCAGCUGAGUUUCCCAGCGUAUUGCUAAGCUCGGCCGGGCGGCAGGGGGUUCCAGGCCAUUAAAUGGCUCCUGCAGGACUACCUGGAGUCCUAAAUCUUGGAUGCCCCUUCCUCCCCUCCCUGUGUCGGACUGCGUGCAGCCCCAGGUCACUGCUUGACUGUCAUGAAGCUGCUUGGAGCACUUUCAUUGCAUGGCCCCUCCUGGACAACUAGACUUUUCAGACCCGUUGCACUUGGUGUACAUAUAGACUCUUUUACACAUGCUCACCAGCAUCCUGAUUCUUGAAUCGCAUGGCAGGCCCUGACCUUUGUAACCUCUUGCUGCCAGGCUCCAGUGAGCACUGGUAGAUCUGGAAUGCCUGGCCCUUCACUCCACCUCUGUCUUCCCCCAGGAUGGGAGCUACAGUUUUUGUCCAGCCCCUGGACCUGGUGAAGAACCGGAUGCAGUUGAGCGGGGAAGGGGCCAAGACUCGAGAGUACAAAACCAGCUUCCAUGCCCUCACCAGUAUCCUGAAGGCAGAAGGCCUGAGGGGCAUUUACACCGGGUAUUGGGGCCUCAGGAUGGAGGGUAUGCUGUGGGUUGGCAACUGUAGACCUUGGCCUGAUAUGCUGACCUCUCUGCUCCUCAGGCUGUCGGCUGGCCUGCUGCGUCAGGCCACCUACACCACUACCCGCCUUGGCAUCUAUACCGUGCUGUUUGAGCGCCUGACUGGGGCUGAUGGUACUCCCCCUGGCUUUCUGCUGAAGGCUGUGAUUGGCAUGACCGCAGGUGCCACUGGUGCCUUUGUGGGAACACCAGCCGAAGUGGCUCUUAUCCGCAUGACUGCCGAUGGCCGGCUUCCAGCUGACCAGCGCCGUGGCUACAAAAAUGUGUUUAAUGCCCUGAUUCGAAUCACCCGGGAAGAGGGAGUCCUCACAUUGUGGCGGGGCUGCAUCCCUACUAUGGCUCGGGCCGUCGUCGUCAAUGCUGCCCAGCUCGCCUCCUACUCCCAGUCCAAGCAGUUCUUACUGGACUCAGGCUACUUCUCUGACAACAUCUUGUGCCACUUCUGCGCCAGCAUGAUCAGCGGUCUUGUCACCACUGCUGCCUCCAUGCCUGUGGACAUUGCCAAGACCCGGUGAGUGUGCAGCCUGGGCCUGGAGGCGGGUGGGAGGGUGUCCUUUCGGUCUCUCAUGCCCCUGCCUCCUCUCCUCCAGAAUCCAGAACAUGCGGAUGAUUGAUGGGAAGCCGGAAUACAAGAACGGGCUGGAUGUGCUGUUCAAAGUUGUCCGCUACGAGGGCUUCUUCAGCCUGUGGAAGGGCUUCACACCGUACUAUGCCCGCCUGGGCCCCCACACCGUCCUCACCUUCAUCUUCUUGGAGCAGAUGAACAAGGCCUACAAGCGUCUCUUCCUCAGUGGCUGAAGCGGCCGGGGGCUCCCACUCGCCUGCUGCGCCUAUAGCCACUGCGCCCUGGGGGCCUGGGCCCUGCUGCCCUGGACCCCUCUAUUUAUUUCCCUUCCACAGUGUGGUUUCUUCCUCUGCGGUAAAGGACUUGGUCUGUUCCACCCCCUGCUCCAGCUUGCCCUGCUCGUCCUGAUCCUGUGAUUUCUCUGUCCUUGGCUAUUCUUGCAGGGAGCUGGAAAACUUCCUGAGGAUUUCUGGCCUCCCCCUGGGUUUUAGUUUCAGGGCACACAGGAAGCAGAAGAUCCCCCUUCUCAGUGGGGAAACCAAGGCAGAGCUGAGGGGACAGGGAGAAGCAGAAGCCGUCAAGAUGGUCAAAGGGCCUGCAGAGGGAGAUGUGGCCCUUCCUCCCCCUCACUGAGGACUUAAUAAAUUGGAUUGAUGA
rnacentral:sRNA from 1 species